GUCUGCGUCUGCAUCUCCCCUCAUGUGUCUCCUUGUGUUCUCCAUCCCUCACUAGGUUCUCCUUUGUGUCUCCUAGCACCCUCAUGUGUCCUUGUCUGCGUCUUCCUCAUGUGUCUCCUGGUGUUCUCCAUUUUCCCCAGAUCUUCAGCCCUCUAGGUUUCCCUCCUCAGGUAUCCCCCUCCCAGGUCCUGUGCUCCCGUGGCCCCCUUUAGUCACGCCCCUGUAGUUUUUCUUUCUGUAGUGUUUUUCCUUUAGUUUCAGCUUACCCCUUAGAAUAUUAGUUAUGUUUGCUGCCCUUCUGGGCUUUAGGUUUUUCUCUUAGGUCAUUUUCCUUUAGCUACAGCUGUUCAUGUUAUUAGUCUCUCUAGUGUGUUUUUCCCAUCGGUGUUUGAGGUUUUUCUCCCCCUUAGAUUAUUAAGUUAUGUUUCCUGCUCUUCUUGUCUUUAGGUUUUAUUCUUAGGUCAUGUUAGUUUCCUCCCUGAUUAGUAACUCAGUUCACCUUGUCUCUCUCUCCCCACACACCAGCAGGUCAUCUCCCUCUCAUCCUCCCCAAUGUAUAAAACCCUGUCUGUGUCUAAAUGCUUUGUCGGUCCAUUGUUUGGUGUCAGCGUUGUUUUGUGCCUCGUCAUUAGGUCUCCAGGUUUUUGUGCUCUUUGAAUGAGCUUUUUGUCUCCAGGGUUUCAGGACAUUGGUUAUUGGCUUCCUGCCCUUUUGGAACAUUUUUGUUCUCCUUCCUAAUAAAGGAAUGUUUUCCUUUACAUCCACUCCUGCCUCAUGUCGUUCUGGGUGUCUGCAUAUUGGGUCCAAACCUCCUCCAGGCUCACAAUGUGACAAAGUUGUUAAUAACGACUUUUAAAAAACAAUCACAAACAGCGACUGGCAUGCGUUGCAGUUGAUGACGCGAAGCUCACUGUCCCAGUUCAGCAGUGCUUUGCUCACUUUGUGUUCUACUCACUCGAAGCCUUACUGCACACUUCCUCCAAGUGCACUGUGCUGAAGACCACAGGGUGCAGUGAGAGUAAUGGGAUUGGUCCAAGGACACAAAAUCUCCUAAAUGAAAUUCCUGGUGACACAUCGCUCUAACGCUCUUCUGUGUUUUGAGAGGAGCGUAGCAAUCAGCUUCUCAUCGCCUCCUACUGGGCUGUGGUGAAACAACAGCUCCGGCUGCUGUUUUGAUAAAACAGAUUAAACUUUCCUCUCACCGAGUGAAGUUUUGUUUUUCUAUGGUUAAAGUGAGUUGACUCCAUUCGACGUGUGCUGGACUUCCAGCUGCUGGUCUCCUGCUGGUGGACGUUUCUGUCCGUUAGCGUCUCUAUUGUCUCUCUGUGAUCUGAGGUGACGACUCCAUCGCUGUCGAUGAACUUCUGUCUGAGCUGAGUUCUGCAGACAGCUUCCACAGAUUUAACAAGAAGACCAGCGGGGAGGGAAAUACUUCUGUCUCUUCCCAUUUCCCUCUGCGAUCAGACGGGUUUGCUAGCUGCAGGAUGACGGACCGGUGCAGGAAAAAUCUGACACGUCUUUGUUUUUAUCCUCGUGUCUGGAAUGUUUGGGCAAUUUCUGCCUCAUGAAACCUCAGAUUUGUCAGUAACUAGUUUUGUAAAUAUGACCGUAACCCUGAGAGGAUUUAUUUAGCACUUUUCUAGGCGCCCAAGUACUUCCAGUAUUCACACACGCUCACAUUCACACACCGUUCGUGAUGGAAAGCUAUGUAGCCACAGCUGGAGCAGUCUGACAAAACCAGGGGAAAGAAAAAGAAUAAGAUGUUUGGACAUUAGGACUUUUCCUAGAAGUCCCAUUGAAGUGAGGGGUAUUGAGUGCAAUCGGUGGCAAGGAAACAUACCUAACCGUAACAAGGUGGACCAGACUGUGUGUGUGAACACUGAAUGAUCCAGCUCUGAAACGGGACACCUGGGGCAGGUUAACGCCGGGGACACACUGGCCGCCGAAGCGCCGCGCGCCGGCGCUCCAGCCCGCGCCGUGCAGCGAUUGUUUCGGCGUCUGCUCUAUUUUUUAUUUUUUUUUUGCGAGCCGCGGGUGAACCGCGUCAAUUCUGGCAGGAAGUCAAACCUAGACAUAAGAGGCAGGCCGGUAAAUUUAACAAAAUAACGCAUUUCAAAAUAAAAUUCCGCAAUUGUCAAAUGUGUUCGGAAACAGACACUGCAUAAAAACCACAUGAACACACACACACACACACACACAGCGAACGUGUGUGUGUGUGUGACCACGUGAAGGUGGUGUGGUUUUGGGUGUCUUUCAACCGGAGCAAACAGGAUAGAGAAGCAGAAAGUCGUAGGCCAGCUAUUAACAACUGUUCACACCAUAGGUUCACACACACACACGUACAAACCAAGCCCCCACAAUGCGGCUCAGAAAAUGGUCUCAACCCGGAAGUACCAAAAAUUGCAGUUCCACCCUCAUCCACUAGGGGCUGGUGUCAGAAGCGAGCAAAUCCUCAUUGACUCCCAUGUUAAAAAUACCAAUUUCACAGCAGAAAUAAACAUGUUUACAGCCUGGUACCAGAACAUGUUUUUGGGUUAAAUGAUCUAGUUUACACUCAUGACAACUCUGAGGGGGGUGAAUUUUUUCUCACUCUUCUGUUUAAGUGUAUUAAAAGCCUAAAAUUCUGUAUAAUUAAUGAGCAUCAGACCCACGUGACCACAGAGCUAGCUCCGUGGAAAGGCCUCAGUAGAGCCUCGGUCUGGCCUGGAAACUGUUCUGGGAUUUUGAGUCUCUGUGUUUGUGUAUUCUGUUUUGGAUAUUAUUUGUGCAAUUGUUGGACAAAAUGACUUGCUGUGGCAUUAAUUGCAUUAAUAGAGCGUCCAAGGAGUCUCCACUUCAUUUUUUUUCGGUAAGUUAAAUUAUAUUUAUGCAUUUUAGGUCACUGCCGCCUUUAAACUAGCUGAGUUUAUCGAAGUAGCUAGCUAACAAUCAUUUUAACAUGUAGCAUGUACUGUUUAACCAUGAAAUUUAGAUGUAAAAUACGAUAAAAUAAUUAAUAGGGCAUAUGUCGAUGAGUAAAAGGGUAAAACCCAGUGCAUUUAACAUAAAAAUGGGUUGAAAUAUGACAGAGCUCUUGGAGGGACACUUCUGUGUUCCAUUCUUCCACCCGGUUCUCCCCGGCGGUCAGCCCGGUGCAUGUCUAACCGAUGCGGCGCCUACUAGCUGCUGCGCGGGCUGACCGCUUGUAGAGCUCUCGGACUCGUAGAGAGACCUGACCGCAGAAAUACUGCAGCUCAAUUCCCUACCUAAAUGCAAAGUUUGAGAGAUGUGGUUCACUUAGGUCUGCACUGCCUUCGGGCUAAUUUGUCAAGUUCACAAAAUGUGGAGCGGGAUGCAAGGUUAGAAUCAGCGGCGAAUCGGAACAUAUCUCGAAGCCCUGGCCGACGAAACAGUCAGCAUGACUAUUACUGUCAGGCUCGGAGAAAAUUCAGGUUGUUUUUGUGUCAGUCGGUAAUUCUGCAACAGCGACUCUAACUAACGCAGCACUAGUUGACAGACAGCAUUACAGCGUGAAAUCCAGCACAGCAUGACCCGGUUCUGUAAGGAAUUCUGUUCAGGAGGUCGCAUUUCAGGCUCUUCACAUCAUAUGUGACUGACGUUUACGUUAUAAUAACGAUCACACACUAGGAAUGUUAUAAAGCGCCUAUAUCUGACAGUUUCUUUUGUAUAUUAUCUGACUUUAUAAACUCCAACAACAAUGUGCUUCUUUUUUUCCAGGCUAAAUCUACCCAAGACACUGGCUGUCAGACUGAUUUAGUAGUCUGCAAGAAUGUAUUUGUCCAGCCUGACGUGAAGCCUUACCUGUAGCAAAGCCACCCAGUUUAGAGCUCCCAGCUGCUGUGUGUCUGGUGACACAGGGACCAUGACGGAAAUUCAUCUUCCAGAAAGUCUGGUUCAUCAUUUAGCCAGAUUUCUAAGUUCCUGGGUACCUUCAAUGUGAAUUUCGUGAGCGCUUCGCCUCCCGGCGCUUCGCUUCGGCGGCUGGUGUGUCCACGGCGCUA